rnacentral:rRNA from 1 species
UACGAAGGGUGCAAGCGUUACUCGGAAUUACUGGGCGUAAAGCGUGCGUAGGUGGUGAGUUAAGUCUGUCGUGAAAGCCCCGGGCUCAACCUGGGAAUGGCGAUGGAUACUGGCUCGCUAGAGUGCGGUAGAGGAGAGUGGAAUUCCCGGUGUAGCAGUGAAAUGCGUAGAGAUCGGGAGGAACAUCUGUGGCGAAGGCGACUGCCUGGACCAGCACUGACACUGAGGCGCGAAAGCGUGGGGAGCAAACAGG